rnacentral:rRNA from 1 species
AUGGAGAAAGAAUUGACCCAUGUUCACUGGGGAGAGGUUUUGUGGUUUAGCUGGCUUUCCUUCCUGAUUGGAGUCGGUGCAGGCGUGCUCCUGCUCGCCCUCAUUAACGCGUUCAGGAGUUCUUACUGGGACGUCUACUCCCUCGAGCUCACCGGCAUGGACGGCCGUGACCAGCCGGCGGAGCUCAGCGGCCUGGCGUUCAACGUGACCCUGCACGUGGAGAACAGGCGGCCGAAGUGGGUGGGCAACAGCUUCAGCCAUGGGAAGGUGGUGGUGUCCUACGCCGGCGUCGCGGUAGCGGAGGGCCGUGUGCCGGGCUUCAGCGUCAGAGCGAAGAGCGCGGCGGAGGUGGAUGCGGUGGCGCUAGGCGGCAAAGCAGGCGUGGCGGACGCCGCCGUGAGGAGGCGCGUGGAGGCCGAGUUGCGCUGGGACUCGGCGGAAUUCGACGUCGAGGCCAAGCUGUUCCGCAGCGGCGUCGGCCAACAAGGCGGCCCCGUCGUGCUGUGGUGCAAGGUUGCAUCGCGGGUGCUGCAUCAACCGUCACGGUGCAGGACCUUCACCGACUUCAUGACUAGGGCAGACGAGGAGUUUUGA